rnacentral:tRNA from 1 species
GAGGGUGUAGCUCAGUGGUAUAGUAUGUGCCUAGCAUGCAUAAGGUCCUGGGUUCAAGCCCCAUUACCUUCA